CCUACGGGCGGCAGCAGCGGGGAAUAUUGGGCAAUGGGCGAAAGCCUGACCCAGCAACGCCGCGUGAAGGAAGAAGGCUCUCGGGUUGUAAACUUCUUUUGACAGGGAAGAGCAGAAGACGGUACCUGUCGAAUAAGCCACGGCUAACUACGUGCCAGCAGCCGCGGUAAUACGUAGGGGGCAAGCGUUGUCCGGAUUUACUGGGUGUAAAGGGCGUGUAGCCGGGCUGACAAGUCAGAUGUGAAAUCCGGGGGCUCAACCCUCGAACUGCAUAUGUGACUGUUGGGCUUGAGUGUCGGAGAGGCAGGCGGAAUUCCUAGUGUAGCAGUGAAAUGCGUAGAUAUUAGGAAGAACACCAAUGGCGAAGGCAGCCUGCUGGACGACAACUGACGGUGAGGCGCGAAAGCGUGGGGAGCAAACAGGAUUAGAUACCCCAGUAGUC
rnacentral:rRNA from 1 species